rnacentral:rRNA from 1 species
AGAGUUGAUCCUGGCUCAGAACGAACGCUGCGGCAGCCUAACACAUGCAAGUCGAGCGCGCCUUCGGGUGAGCGGCGGACGGGUUAGUAACGCGUGGGAACGUGCCCUUCUCUACGGAAUAGCCUCUGGAAACGGAGAGUAAUACCGUAUACACCCUUUGGGGGAAAGAUUUAUCGGAGAAGGAUCGGCCCGCGUUAGAUUAGGUAGUUGGUGGGGUAACGGCCUACCAAGCCUACGAUCUAUAGCUGGUUUUAGAGGAUGAUCAGCAACACUGGGACUGAGACACGGCCCAGACUCCUACGGGAGGCAGCGGUGGGGAAUCUUAGACAAUGGGGGCAACCCUGAUCUAGCCAUGCCGCGUGAGUGAUGAAGGCCUUAGGGUCGUAAAGCUCUUUCGCCUGUGAUGAUAAUGACAGUAGCAGGUAAAGAAACCCCGGCUAACUCCGUGCCAGCAGCCGCGGUAAUACGGAGGGGGUUAGCGUUGUUCGGAAUUACUGGGCGUAAAGCGCGCGUAGGCGGAUUAGAAAGUUGGGGGUGAAAUCCCGGGGCUCAACCCCGGAACUGCCUCCAAAACUGCUAGUCUAGAGUUCGAGAGAGGUGAGUGGAAUUCCGAGUGUAGAGGUGAAAUUCGUAGAUAUUCGGAGGAACACCAGUGGCGAAGGCGGCUCACUGGCUCGAUACUGACGCUGAGGUGCGAAAGUGUGGGGAGCAAACAGGAUUAGAUACCCUGGUAGUCCACACCGUAAACGAUGAAUGCCAGUCGUCGGAUAGUAUACUAUUCGGUGACACACCUAACGGAUUAAGCAUUCCGCCUGGGGAGUACGGUCGCAAGAUUAAAACUCAAAGGAAUUGACGG